rnacentral:rRNA from 1 species
UGCGUAGGCGGUUCUGUGUGUCGGAUGUGAAAUCCCGAGGCUCAACCUCGGAACUGCAUCCGAAACUGCAGGACUUGAGUGCAGGAGGGGAGAGCGGAAUUCUUGGUGUAGCGGUGAAAUGCGUUGAUAUCAAGAAGAACACCGGUGGCGAAGGCGGCUCUCUGGAAUGUUACUGACGCUGAGGCACGAAAGCUGGGGGAGCGAACAGGAUUAGAUACCCUGGUAGUCC